UCUUUAUUGAGAGUUUGAUCUUGGCUCAGGACGAACGCUGGCGGCGUGCCUAAUACAUGCAAGUCGAGCGCGGGAAGCUUGUCUGAUCUCUUCGGAGUGAAGCGAGUGAAACGAGCGGCGGACGGGUGAGUAACACGUGGGCAACCUACCUAUAAGACUGGGAUAACUCCGGGAAACCGGGGCUAAUACCGGAUAACACUUUUCUUCACAUGAAGGGAAGUUGAAAGAUGGCUUCUUGCUAUCACUUAUAGAUGGGCCCGCGGCGCAUUAGCUAGUUGGUGAGGUAAGAGCUCACCAAGGCGACGAUGCGUAGCCGACCUGAGAGGGUGAUCGGCCAC
rnacentral:rRNA from 1 species